rfam:Aedes albopictus isolate Foshan contig34586, whole genome shotgun sequence.
UGCCCAGCAACUCCUAUCCCUAACUCCUCGCGGUACCGGCCGGAAACUAUGAGCAAAUAUAACCAACCCCGGUGGGAACUUUGGUCGCAGGCUGACAGGGAAGA